UCUGUAGGUGGUUUAGUAAGUCUCCUGUUAAAGAUCAGGGCUUAACCCUGAGUCGGCAGUGGAAACUACUGAGCUUGAGUACGGUAGGGGCAGAGGGAAUUCCCGGUGUAGCGGUGAAAUGCGUAGAGAUCGGGAAGAACACCAAUGGCGAAAGCACUCUGCUGGGCCGAAACUGACACUGAGAGACGAAAGCUAGGGGAGCGAAUG
rnacentral:rRNA from 1 species